rnacentral:lncRNA from 1 species
CAGCGCUGGGGGAGAGCCGGGCACGGAGCCGCUGCUGGCCCCGCCGGGCUUCACCUCCCGCGGGGAACGGAUGGAGACUCCAUCCCUGCCCUCCUCCGGGAGCUUCCCCGCGCGGGCAGCCGGCCCUAAUGACUGCUAAUGAGCGCUAAUGAGCGCUAAUGAGCGCCAGGCUAAUGAGCAGCCAGCCCCAGGGCUGCGCGGUUUGCAGGAGCUUGGCCGCCUGGAGAGGCCGGGCUCGGGAAGCGCCGGCCCUGCCAUGGAAAAUGUGAUUUUGCAGAGUGAGGAUGGGCAGGCUGAGGCUGCAGGGAGCAGCAUCUCCCCCGAGCAGGGUGCUGGAGAGACAGGGGUGUGGAGAUGGGGACAUCAGGGCACUGGCAAGGCCGGGACACAUCCCACGGGAUGGCUGCUGGCUGUCCCUGUGCCAUCCCCGUCCCGGCACACGCCAACCACUGAUCCAUCCCAGUGUGGGAUUCAUUUUGUCUGGAAGCGUCCCGCACCUCAGAGGUGUUUUGGGGGCCUCUGUGAGCAGGGCCCGCUGCCCACGGAGCUGGCACAUCUCUUGAGGCAGCUCGGGGGUGGCUGCCUGUCCCCAUCCCGAAUGCCAGCAGUGUCCCCAUGGCCGUGGCAGUGUCAGGAUGGGCCCGGGGUGGAUCCAGCCCCAUGCCCGCCCUGCCUGUGGAGCUGUGAUCCAAUUCCCAUGGGAGAGGACCAUGGCAGGGCCCUGGGGCACGGGGGACACGGGCACGGGGGACACGGGCACAGGGGACACGGGCACAGGGGACAGGCCCUGCUCCCGGGAGCCCCCUCCUCUUCGUGUGGCUGUGGCGGCUGGCCCUGGCCCUUCCCUCAGUGUCCCUUGUCCCUGGGGAAGGAAAGCCGGGGACAGGCGUGGGCUCCUCCCCGCCGGGCACAGCGCCGAGCGCUGGGGACCGGGACACUCAAGUACCGGCAAGGGCAGAGUCCUCCCCUGCUCCCCCGCAGCCAGGGCCGCCCAGGAGGGGAUGGAUCCCCUUCCCAGGGCCGCGGCCGUGGGGGCCGGGGGGGAAAAGUGACUCGGAGAAACGAGGGAGAACCGCUGCGACCGGAGUCAGCCCGGGGGGAGCGCGGAGCAGCCCCCGAGCCUCCAUCAGCCUGUGCAAAACAAAUUAAUAACAACAAUAAAAAAUAAAAUUAAAAAAAAAAUAAAACCACAUUGAAACCAAACCCA